UUAUUUUUCUUCUCCAAACAAAUCAGCCGCACCUUUCUUCUCUUUCAUCUUCUUCUUCUUCUUCUUCUUCUUCUCAUCUUCUUUUUCUUUCCUUCCUCCAAAACUUGCGGCGACCGAACCCUGCAACUCACGUCUUCUUCUUCUUUUCUUUUUCCCUGCUGCUACAGUUCCCUUAUUCUUCCUCUUCUAUUCCUCCUAACCGAACUCAACCCCUCCCCAUCCCUAUUCUUCUUUUUCUUUUCCUCUUCUCCUUCCCUUCUUCAUGGCUACCACCACCACCACACCACCUACUGACUCCGAGGUUACCUAUUUCAGUUUUCAACUGCCGAGAGGGGAAUCUUCUACUCUAUUGUUUCUCAAAGCCUGAAAACCUCAAAUCGGAGCUUCUUUGCCCUUUCAAUGGCGGAUUGGCGUUCAAAUGGUUACCGUCAAUGACCAGAUUGGCAAGACAUCGGAGUUUUGUCUGUCGUUAUCACUUCCUGGGAACUCAAAUCUCCCACCUUCAUGGCCACCACUGCUGCUUCUCUUCCAAUUUAUGCUUUCAAGAUCAGAGACGAUCCAGACGACAAAGAGGAUUUCGCGGACAGCAAAUGUGCCUUCGUAAUGCUCAAGCGGUGAAGUCACAUUUCGUUGGCGACACUUCUCUCUGCUGCCUCCUCACUCUAGUCUGCAACAAAUAAUGCCAGUUUGAAUCAUUCCGGGGCUUCAAAUGGGAAAAUAGAAAUAGUUGAAGAAAUGGAACAAACUUGGUUUGAUGAUGAUGAAAGCAACAAUGAGAGUGGUGAAAGUGUUUGCAAGGUGAUUGAAGGUCUAUUCGCAUCAGAUCAAAACAUUGAAGCGGUUCUUGAUCAAAGUGGGAUCGAUCUCUCUCGUGAUCUCGUUCUUCAUCUGUUGGCUCAGUUCCGAAAUGCCUGGAGGCCUACAUUUUGGUUCUUCUGCUGGGCUGGGCGACAACCAGGAUUCUUACAUUAUUCUAGGACACAUGAUUCUAUGAUGGGAAUUAUCCAGAAGACAAGGCAAAUUCAAGAGCAUGUUGGUGAUGCUUGAAGAAAUGAAGAAUAAAGGGCUUCCGACAAUUGAGACUCUCCAUUUCUUUACAGGCUUUUGCUGCUGCACGAGAGGCGAAGAAGGAUGAGAAGGCACCACUUCAGAGCAGGGGGCUGGUACCUUUAAUUGCUUGCUUGAUGCUCCUGGAAGGGCAAAGCAUGUGAAAGAAGCUCAAGGUCUCUUUAAGAAGUUGAAAAAAUCGAUCUCCACCAGGCUUACAGACCAAUGCAGUUCUCCUCCUCUUCUGGUCUUCCCUGCCCUUCCUUGCUGCAACCGAAACCCAUCUUCUUCUCCUUCAUUCUCUCCUCUUCUAUGCUCCAAUCUCCUUCCCUUGGCCAAAAUCCAUCUCCAGCCCAUCGUCUUCUCUUCUUCUUUUUUUUUUUUUUGUUAUUUUGUUAUUUCUUUAAUUUUCUAAUUAAAUACUCCAUAUUUGUAAUACCCACAACCUGUUAUUUCAUUUAUGUUUUUCUA